rnacentral:lncRNA from 1 species
UGCACAUCCCCGAAUUCACGCAGCUUCCUUUUUUUUCUUGCUUUUCGUGCAUGUUUCUUCUAGGGACUUCUGGGAUUCAUUGGUCUGGUCGGGGAGCCAGGGAUUGUGGGAGAAAAGGGUGAUCGGGGCAUGAUGGGACCCCCAGGCGCACCCGGACCCAAGGGAUCAAUGGGUCAUCCUGGAACUCCCGGUGCCGUUGGGACCCCCGGAGAGCCCGGACCCCCGG